rnacentral:lncRNA from 1 species
UGGUCAGCAACUUGGUUUCCUUCUCUAUGAAUGUGUGAAAUCCGAUAAAAGAUGACACUCAAGUAGUUUUGGAUAGAAGCCAACAAAUAUCGAGUCUGGGAGGAGCGUUUAUGUCACUCAAGUAUCAUUUGCACAAUUACCUUUGCAUCCAUUUCGAUCCAAAACUCUAGAUAUAUUGUACUCAAUACAUAAAAGUAGACCUCGAUGUAAUGCCAUUAGUUCUGUCUGUAAAAGAUGAUUUUGUCCAAAUUGAUGUUUAUCGAUAACACAAAUCUAAACGCAUGAUUUGUUGAUAGUAAUUAGCUAGAGUUUGGCUGGUUAGCUUUAAAGUUUUACUUUUGAUUUGGUGCAUUUGAACGGUUUAAAGUAAUCUUAUUUUCGUAGAACUCAAACCUAACCAAAAG